rnacentral:rRNA from 1 species
UACGUAGGGUGCGAGCGUUGUCCGGAAUUAUUGGGCGUAAAGGGCUCGUAGGCGGUUUGUCGCGUCGGGAGUGAAAACUCAGGGCUUAACCCUGAGCCUGCUUCCGAUACGGGCAGACUAGAGGUAUGCAGGGGAGAAUGGAAUUCCUGGUGUAGCGGUGAAAUGCGCAGAUAUCAGGAGGAACACCGGUGGCGAAGGCGGUUCUCUGGGCCGAUACUGACGCUGAGGAGCGAAAGCGUGGGGAGCAAACAGG